GACUUCCCUGUCCAGGGAGUUAGUCCUAUAGCAGAUGUGUGUUAGCCCCGACUUCCCUUUCCAGGGAGUUAGUCCUAUUUCAGCUGUGUGUUAGCCCCGACUUCCCUGUCCAGGGAGUUAGUCCUAUAUCAGCUGUGUACAUGUGUAAGCCCCGACUUCCCUGUCCAGGGAGUUAGUCCUAUAUCAGCUGUGUGUUAGCCCCGCACUCCAUUCGCAGUGCCUAUAACUUGCUCCCGGAAAUGACCGAACCAGUCCGAUGAGUAGUUGGCGGAGCCUGUACAGUCCUUAUCUUAGAUUGUAUGGCUCAAGCGCACACAAUACUUAAAGUGGAGACAUAUUUUCAGUGCUUGCGGUUUGAAGAUUUAUUUUCUUUGCGUUUCGUGAUAAAACCAGUCAAGAUUUGGAUUCGGGGAUAACUCUUCUGCAUGGUUGCCCUCAGUCUGGCAGAACACGGAAAGUUUGAGAAUAAGAACGGUUUCAUGAAUACGGGGCCUAGGAAACAAACACUAAUUGGAAUUUGCUAUAUACAUUUUAAUGAAACAGAAUAAUAACAUAUAAAAAACGAAUUUUUGAGGUUCUUCAAUUUCUUUAUUUCCAAAUGCAACAGAUAGCAUAUAGGAGUUACAAUAUACAUGUACAUACAAGUAAAUAUUACAAUCCAAUUAUGUAAGAUAGCGGAGAACAUGACGGAGUAAAACACAAGAUGACAUCAUAGCAAUAUUGUCAACAUACAAAAGAAAAUAUAUAAUCAUUGUCAGUUGCACAAAGCUGGAACAUACACGAUUGCUCAGAUAUUAAGUAUAGACGUCCUUUUAGAAGUAGCCUGAAUUAGAUACUUACUAAGGUUUCUCAAUUGUUUUACAUUUUUGCAGGCGAAAAAUUGUAUUAAUUUAUAGACGGACGGACGACGGAAAUAAUAGGGUUUAAUAUAUUUGGUUCUAAGCUCCGAGUAAACUGGACACAACAAAAUAAAAUGGGUUUCAUCCUCGAUGUCAUUUCUAUUGCAAAGCGGACACCGCCGUUGAGCUCUAUGUAUACCAUUAUACCUGCCUGUUUCUAUACUUAGUGUAUGAGAUUGUAACCUAUACUUACUGAGGAUAUUUUUACACUUAUAAGUUAGUGACUUGGACUGCAUACCGUAAUGAUCUACGAUAUAUUUAUACAACCUACAUUUGGAGGAGUUUUCAAACAUUCCUCUCACUUCUUGGAUAAAAGUAUCUUGUACACGUUGGGUGUAUACAAAUACGAAAUGUUUUUCAUUAGAAACACACUGAGCCAACCAAUCAUCAUGAAAGCCAAUUCUACUUAAUUCAUGCUUGACUUGAUAUACAAAAUUAGUUUUACAAUUUGGUUUUUUAAGAUUUAAUUCGACAAGCUCAUCGUAACAAGAUCUCAAAAUACAAUUGUCAGUUUUCAAUAAUUUUAACCAGUACUUUAUAAUGGAUAUUUUACGCUUUAUCUGUAAAGGAAAUCGACAUAACUCAUAGAAAAACCAUAGAAUUAUUAACAGGCUUUUUUACUCCAAGAACUUCUUUCAGGAAAUUUGUGUUCUCGAAUGAAAAGAGUACCUCCCUAGCGCUUUCACCUCUUUAGAGGUUCAUCAGGGGAACUGUUUGUUUAAGUUGACACAACAACACAGCACAGAAAGUGAUAUAAACCGGCUUUAACUCUUUCAUAACACUACCUGCACAUCACGAUAGAUCCAACUUAUACACCGUGUGAUUAAUUCUGUUUGAAGCAAGUCCACGUUGGUACGCUCUGUCUGAAAGAUAUUUAUUUGGUUCUAUACGUGUAUUCGGGAGCUGAAAUUCGUUUAGUGACAAUUGCUGUUUCUUUGAUAGAUAUGUCACCGUUCUGGACCAAUCGGGAACCGUUGGCACUUUCCGUAUUCGUUUACGUAAAGUGCCGACGCUUCCCGAUUGUAUUCUGGAAUUAACGUGUCGAGACUUCAAUACAGAAAUCAAAUUUUCCCAGGAAAUCAACGACAUCAACUGUUUAGAAGUCCGUUAUCUAUCUAUAAAGUAUGUAUAGAGCAGCUUUGCCUGAUACACUGCAAAGAAGUGACCAUGUUAUAAGUAAACGGUUGUACCUACCUAUCUCAUGCAUCAGUACACAUGUGGACAUCGUGUAUGGUUUAGUAAAUGUGUUUAUUAUACCUUAUUGUGUAGAUAUCAUUUCACACGGUAUUACAAAUUAGAUAUGAUAGACACGAAAAUGUUUUAAUUUCAUAUAAAAACGAACGAUAAUAAUCUGUUUUAAGCCUGUGCUGGUGUUAUUUUCUAAUAUGCAAAUUACAGGAAUAUUGAACUCGUUCGAUCUGGACCUAAAAUAGAUAAACAUCUGGCAAGCUGUUGCACGUAAAAUAAUUGUUUGUGUGAAAGCAACAUUGGUCAUUCAUAAAUGCAAAAUAAAUACAGAUAUCGUAUUUGAAUUCAUUUCUAAUAUUAUUAAAUUUAAGUAUUUUCUAUCUUUGGCAAAACAAUAAAGGUCGAUGCCUUCAGCUUGAGAAUGAUUUAAAUUCUGUUUUCAAUUCAAUAUUUUAGUCAGGAGGUAAAUUUGUGCCGUAACCAGAUCGCACCCAACACAAGUGAAGGAACAAUCGGGAACCGUCGGUACUUUCCGUAAACGAGUAUUUUCUCGUUUACGGAAAGUGCCGACGGUUCCUGAUUGGGACUGAGACUGCUGGGAAGUUAUCAAAUUGGUUAGUAAAGCGUACAUAUCUCGUAUAUAUAUAAUUAUAUAACAUUUCAGAAGCAGACUUAUAUCGUGUAGUAUGUGAGUAAGUGGAUUUGUCAACAUCUUUGUGAUGUGUAUCAGUAGAGGGAUUCAAUAUAUAGCUAGCUGUUAUGCAGAUGAUCACUUAAGUCGCAACUAACUCAGAAAUAAGGUACAUACGUUACAGUGCUGAGAAUGUAUGACGGGUCUCGCGUGACUUCACCUGAAUGAUUACUAAUUUAGGGCCUAGUUUUCAUUAGAAAACUAAAAAAAUAUACGUAUAUUCUUGUCAAUUACAUUUUUAUAUACUAUAUUAUAACUGAUAAUACAAGUUUGAAUAUG